rfam:Triticum urartu cultivar G1812 contig1000893, whole genome shotgun sequence.
AUAAUACUCCCUCCGUCCCAAAACUUUUGUCUUAAAUUUGCCUAGAUACCGAUGUAUCUAAUACUAAAACGUGACUUGAUACAUCCGUAUUUAGAAAAAUCUAAGACAAGAAUUUUGGGACGGAGGAGGUAGUAC